ACAGUGUUCUGGCUCUGCCGCUGGCAUCUUUGUGGUGCAAGAGGAAAGUCCGGGCAGCAUAGAGCACUCCACUUCCGAAAGUAGAAGCUGUUGGUAACAAUAGGUGAAGGCAGAAGAAAAGAACCGCCUUUGUGGUUCCGCAUUCCUCGGUCGGACUUGAUCCGGUCUUGGGAUCCUCACAAGGGUAAGGGUGAGAAGGUAGUGUAAGAGACUACCAGCUGGCGGGUGAUCGCCAGGCUGUGCUGACUGGAGGCUGCAAGUUCGCGUAUACCGUCGUUUGAGGGCUGCUCGUCCGAUACGCAAGUACGACGGAGGGUAGAAUGCUUGAGCCGUGGGGUGACUCACGGCGUAGAUAAAUGGCAGGCACUUCAUCCAUCGAAAGGUGAUUGAGGGACGGAACCCGGCUUAUAGGAGCACUGUUUUC
rnacentral:RNase_P_RNA from 1 species